CCUGCUAUGCGACUAGCAGUAGCCUAGGGAGACAUGCGUCACUGGUAACGGUGGGGUGUGAAGCUCUCCUGACAAUGUAGCCCCCGAAAGGGUGCCAUCAGGUCGUGAGACAGGACGGUAGAUGCUCCGAGCAGCAACGGGGUUGAGGCG
rnacentral:ncRNA from 1 species